rnacentral:rRNA from 1 species
AGAACCUUACCUACUCUUGACAUCCAGAGAACUUUCCAGAGAUGGAUUGGUGCCUUCGGGAACUCUGAGACAGGUGCUGCAUGGCUGUCGUCAGCUCGUGUUGUGAAAUGUUGGGUUAAGUCCCGCAACGAGCGCAACCCUUAUCCUUUGUUGCCAGCGGUCCGGCCGGGAACUCAAAGGAGACUGCCAGUGAUAAACUGGAGGAAGGUGGGGAUGACGUCAAGUCAUCAUGGCCCUUACGAGUAGGGCUACACACGUGCUACAAUGGCGCAUUCUAAGAGAAGCGACCUCGCGAGAGCAAGCGGACCUCAUAAACGCUCUAUCCGGAUUGGAGUCUGCAACUCGACUCCAUGAAGUCGGAAUCGCUAGUAAUCGUAGAUCAGAAU